AAUGAACGCUGGCGGCGCGCCUAAUACAUGCAAGUCGAGCGAGAAGACGUAGCAAUACGUUUGUAAAGCGGCGAACGGGUGAGGAAUACAUGGGUAACCUACCCUCGAGUGGGGAAUAACUAGCCGAAAGGUUAGCUAAUACCGCGUACGCUCCUUGGACUUCGGUUCAGGGAGGAAAGCGAUACCGUGGGUAUCGCGCUCUUGGUUGGGCUCAUGUCCUAUCAGCUUGUUGGUGAGGAACGGCUCACCAAGGCUUCGACGGGUAGCUGGUCUGAGAGGACGAUCAGCCACACUGGCACUGCGACACGGGCCAGACUCCUACGGGAGGCAGCAGUAAGGAAUAUUG
rnacentral:rRNA from 1 species